CUGCUCCCUGCGAGAGACCUUCUGCAACAGAAGUAGAAAGCAGUAAAAACACAAUUAGCAGCGCUCAGUCUCCUUGUUAUGCUGUUUUCAUAGCUGGGCUGAUUUUGACGUUUCGUUCGAGAGAGAUAAAAAGUGGUCCUGUUACAAUUAAGUGCGAUGUGCUGACAUGGUUCCAAGGCUACUCCUUUCCUAUUUGUCUGUUCACGAGCUCCAACAAAAUUUGCUCCGUUUAUGCAAGUCACCGAACUCUCGGGGAGGUAUCUCCCAGACCUUGGCCUACGCUGAUGAUACGGACAGGACUAGGGACAGGACUCUCUAACUGCUGACCAUUAUCAAUGAAUGGAGUGCUUCCUUUAUUUGGCGUAACGUCCUACGCGGACAUACCACAUGCCGCCGGCCUAAUACAGGCUUUGGAGAGUGAGUUCAUUACCACGCAGCCGAUUAAAAUCAGUCCUUGCAACGGAGGUGAACGUGGUCCAUUCUAGACUUGAACCCAUGACGGGCAUGUUAUUGAGUCGUUCGAGUAGACGACUGUACCACGGGACCACCGCUUUGAAACGCAGAUUAACAAAAACAAAAACGGAUGCAAAGGCAUGCAGCGAAUAGGAAUCGUAAGACCCCAAGCGAUCUAUUCCAUAAUAUCUUUCUAUGGUCACAUGUCACCCGAAAUCAAAGAUAAGUAUGGCGUAGUCUUAAUAAAUUACUUUAAUUUUAAUUGAGUACA